AUUGAACGCUGGCGGCAGGCCUAACACAUGCAAGUCGAACGGUAACAGGAAGAAGCUUGCUUCUUUGCUGACGAGUGGCGGACGGGUGAGUAAUGUCUGGGAAACUGCCUGAUGGAGGGGGAUAACUACUGGAAACGGUAGCUAAUACCGCAUAACGUCGCAAGACCAAAGAGGGGGACCUUCGGGCCUCUUGCCAUCGGAUGUGCCCAGAUGGGAUUAGCUAGUAGGUGGGGUAACGGCUCACCUAGGCGACGAUCCCUAGCUGGUGUGAGAGGAUGACCAGCCACACUGGAACUGAGACACGGUCCAGACUCCUACGGGAGGCAGCAGUGGGGAAUAUUGCACAAUGGGCGCAAGCCUGAUGCAGCCAUGCCGCGUGUAUGAAGAAGGCCUUCGGGUUGUAAAGUACUUUCAGCGGGGAGGAAGGGAGUAAAGUUAAUACCUUUGCUCAUUGACGUUACCCGCAGAAGAAGCACCGGCUAACUCCGUG
rnacentral:rRNA from 1 species